rnacentral:rRNA from 1 species
UGGGGAAUAUUGCGCAAUGGGGGGAACCCUGACGCAGCCAUGCCGCGUGAAUGAAGAAGGCCUUCGGGUUGUAAAGUUCUUUCGGUAUUGAGGAAGGUUGAUGUGUUAAUAGCACAUCAAAUUGACGUUAAAUACAGAAGAAGCACCGGCUAACUCCGUGCCAGCAGCCGCGGUAAUACGGAGGGUGCGAGCGUUAAUCGGAAUAACUGGGCGUAAAGGGCACGCAGGCGGUUAUUUAAGUGAGGUGUGAAAGCCCUGGGCUUAACCUAGGAAUUGCAUUUCAGACUGGGUAACUAGAGUACUUUAGGGAGGGGUAGAAUUCCACGUGUAGCGGUGAAAUGCGUAGAGAUGUGGAGGAAUACCGAAGGCGAAGGCAGCCCCUUGGGAAUGUACCGACGCUCAUGUGCGAAAGCGUGGGGAGCAAACAGGAUUAGAUACCCUGGUAGUCCACGCUGUAAACGCUGUCGAUUUGGGGAUUGGGCUUAGAGCUUGGUGCCCGUAGCUAACGUGAUAAAUCGACCGCCUGGGGAGUACGGCCGCAAGGUUA